rnacentral:rRNA from 1 species
UACGGGGGGGGCAAGCGUUGUUCGGAAUUACUGGGCGUAAAGGGCUCGUAAGCGGCCAACUAAGUCAGACGUGAAAUCCCUCGGCUUAACCGGGGAACUGCGUCUGAUACUGGAUGGCUUGAGGUUGGGAGAGGGAUGCGGAAUUCCAGGUGUAGCGGUGAAAUGCGUAGAUAUCUGGAGGAACACCGGUGGCGAAGGCGGCAUCCUGGACCAAUUCUGACGCUGAGGAGCGAAAGCCAGGGGAGCAAACGGG